ensembl:lncRNA
UCGCAAAUAUUGAACUUCAGAGCACCCGGGAAUUUUUGCAAACACACACACACACACACACACACACACACACGGGCAGAAGUAGAAAGCUGGGGAAGAUGUGGUUGUGCAGGAGCACAUGUGAAAAGGAGCUUAGCAGCCCAGAUGCCAGGGGGACCGGCGUGAGUCAGCUGGAGGAUGUGGGCGCCAACAACCUCGGGCAGGCCUGGACCAAGCAGAGCAUCCAGAAAAAGAAGGGUGCGGACUGGCUCUGCCUUAGCAGUGGUCAGACCACCCUGGAGGGCUGGCUCUGUCUGAAGGCCCAUCAUGUGACAGGAAAGGGUGUAUUCCGAGGACAGCUACAAAGAAGCUGGGAGGAGGAGAAGCACUGAGGAGUUAGCAAAGCCUGGUGUGAUAGCACACCCUUGGGAGACUGAGGCAGGAAGAUCAAUAGUUCGAGGCUAGCCUGAGGCUACGCGGUGAGACCCUAUCUCAAUAUAAACAGUGAAAAAAGAGGGCUGGGAACAUAGCUCAGUGGGAAGGUGCUCACCUAGCAUGUGCAAGGCCCCAGCUUCAAACCUCAGUAUUGGAAGAAAAGAAAAAGUUGGAGAAAAGAAAGAGAGCAUGGGCCGGGCGUUGGUGGCGCCCACCUUUAAUCCCAGCACUCGGGAGGCAGAGGCAGGAGGAUCUCUGUGAGUUCGAGGCCAGCCUGGUCUCCAGAGCGAGUGCCAGGAUAGGCUCCAAAGCUACACAGAGAAACCCCGUCUUGAAAAACCAAAAAAAAAAAAAAAAAAAAAAAAAAAAAAGAAAGAAAAAGAAAGAGAGCAUGGCCUACAGAAGGGCUUGAGUCAGGGUGGGCUUGUGCCUAGAAGUCCUCUGCCUCAUGUCACCCCGGUGAAGUCUUAUCUGUCCUUUGUAGCCUCCCCCUCUUCUAGAAGCCUUCCUUCACCUCUCUGCAGAACCAACCCCACUUCCCCAGGAACCCCUCCUCCUGGCAUCCUGGAAUCAGCCCCUGCAGGACAGCACCUGGGGCAAGGAGCCAUGUUUUAAGGGUGUAUCUGAGUAGGCAUCCCUGUUUGAUCAUCCCUAGUGCUUGCUCAGGUGAUUGUUCUUCAGCAGUAUCUGAUGAGCGGAAUGAGUUGCAUGAAAACUGUCAUGAUUUUGACCACGGGAAGACACUGUUCUUUCCAUGUGGCUUUGGAAAGACGGAAGUGGAAGAGAGGGCGGAUAUGACAAGACAGCGGACUUCAGCUAAAAUCAGGAAGUGUUUAUAACAAUAGUGACGACAGCUUCAUUAUGUCUUACUCGUGCAAUGCUACAUGAUAAGCAACUCCAAACAGCCCAGAGCAGUAGCAAGAAGCCCUUCAUUAAUUAUCUCACACAGCUCAUGCCAGCCAGGAACUCAGGAGUGGUGAGGAGAUUGGUUCCGGCUUGGCAUCUCUCAUGGGUUGCAGAUGCCAGCCAGGGCUGCGGUUAUCUGAAGAUGACAUUCUGGCAUACUCACGUGGUUGCUGGGUCCUCCUUUGUCUGCUGUGUUUACUUGUCCUAAUUGCCAAGACUCUGAAGAGGGGGAUGAAAACAAGAGAAGAUGUGAAGACAGCUUAUGAACUGUAAAGUAUUGUUAAAAUCAAAGCCAUUACACUUACUUUUUUUUUCUUAAGGAAUUUUCCAAUCCAUUCUAUCCUGAGUUAGAAAAAAAAAAAAAAAACAACAAAACAAAACAACUGAAAACACUUUAUUUUAUCCUGAAAUAUUUAAUAAGCUAUAAGAAGCAUUUUGAUUUGUGGGGGAAGAUGAAACCUCAAAUUGAACUUCUAAGUGCUUGGUUUGUGUUUAUUACUAAUUUAUUUCCUUGUUAAACUUCGGAUGACGUGUGAUAAACUGUCUGUGUCACCGUGCUAUUGAUUGUACUGCAUUAGAAGCUGAAUUAAAUGUACAUUACUCUGGGGCUGGUCACCGUGAUGGACGCUUUAAAAGGUUUUGAGGGAGAAUAAGUGAGAACCAUUAGGGCCCUUUAGACUCUGUCUCCCAUUGGCCCCUGUCACCCUGGGGAAGUUCUCCUGUAGCUUGGUGGCAUGUAUAACUUUGUCUUAAUGCUUCCCCUAAUGAUUUCUAAUGACUGCUUGGUCAUACCACAUACUUUGUAAAGAAAUAGCUGUCUCCCACAACCUUGUCUUGGGCUCAUUCUAGAAGAUUAGGCCUUUGUGUAUACCCAUGUCAGAUACAAAAUUUCGUGGUGAGUCUCUCAGUACUAGGUACUCCUCUGCUGGUGUGAUUAAAAAACAAAACAAAACAAACAACCAACAACAAAAACAUGUCCAGGAGCAGCUUACAGAGGGAAGACUUUAUUUGGCUUAUGGUUCCAGAGGAUAUGGGUGCAGCAAGACCAGGAGGCGGGGCAGCAGGUGGCAGGCAUAGCACCUGGAGCAGAAGCUAAGGGUUCACAUCUUAAACCUAAAGCAUGAAACAGAGAGCAGGCUGAAGAUGGCGAGGGUCUUUAAAGCCCCAAAGUCUGCCUCCAGUGACAUACUUCCUCCCAUAUGGCCACUCCUCUGAAGCCUCACAGUGCCACCAACUGGGUACCAAGUGCUCAAAUGCCUGAGCCUAUGGGGGAUAUUUCUAAUACAGACUAAGACAGUCGUCAUUUUAUGAGGUCAUUUGCUCAUUGAUUCAUCCAUCUAACACCAGUUGAAUAUUAACACUGUUAUAUUGAGACAGUGGCUCCUUUUAUACCACCAAGUUAUCACUGGGACCAGUACUUGGAAAGGAGUCACUGUUGACUUAUCCUAGAAGAAAGUGUCAAGUUAUGGGAAAAUGAAGAAGUGGAGGCCAGAGUCAGGUUUCUAUUCCAGUAUCUCCCAGGUGGGUGGCAUUGGUCAAGUCACUUUUUAAAAUUUAAUUGAGCAUUUCUUUGGGGCUUUAAUGUGGUUAGUUUUUGUAGAUAUGUAUACAUGAAGACUGUGUUGCUUAUUGUGUAUAAGGCCCUAAGUUUACUUCAGUGACUUAAUUAAUACAACAAACUAGGAGAGCUGGAGAGGUGGCUCAGUGGUUAAGAGCACUGCCUGCUCUUCGAGUUUAAGU